GCGGAGGGGAGAGCGCCUUGGCCGCUGGGAUGUCGAGUGCCACCGUGUCCCUGAGGUCACCCUUUCUGCUGUUGGGAGAGCACGAGGUGGAUGGAGAGGAUCCCCAGGCAUCUGCAGGCACAAGGGACUCGCACAGCUGUGAUUUUCCUCCAGCCCUCGUGAGAGGGACUUUCAGGGUACCAUGGGUCAUGUGCCAGCUCUCCUGCUGGAGCUUUUGUCUGCUGUAUUUGAACACAAAGAGUAGAACUAAAGUCAGGGAAUAACUCCUGUCAGCAGCAAGGCCCCGACUGAAGUGG